AUCUUACUUCCUCCGUCCAACAAAGUAUGUCUCAACUUUGACCAAAUUUGAAUGCAUCUAUACACUGAUUAAUGUCUAAAUGCAUCCAAUUUUGACAAAUUUGAGGCAUCUUUUGUUGGACGGAGGAAGUAUAAU
rfam:Brachypodium distachyon strain Bd21 chromosome 3, whole genome shotgun sequence.